AUUGAACGCUGGCGGCAGGCCUAACACAUGCAAGUCGAACGAGUGGCGGACGGGUGAGUAAUGUCUGUGACCCUGCCUGGUGGCGGGGUAUACCUACGGGAAACGUAAGCUAAUACCGCAUACCAUCAGCUGUGCCUGGAUGGGAUUAGGUUGUUGGAGGGGUAACGGCUAACCAAGGCGACGAUCCCUAGCUGGUCUGAGAGGAUGACCGGCCACACUGGGACUGAGACACGGUCCAGACUCCUACGGUAGGCAGCAGUGGGGAAUAUUGUACAAUGGGCGCAAUCCUGAUGCAGCCAUGCCGCGUGUAUGAAGAAGGCCUUCGGUUUGUAAAGUACUUUCGGCGGGGAGGCGUUACCCGCAGAAGAAGCACCGGCUAACUCCGUGCCAGCAGCCGCGGUAAUUC
rnacentral:rRNA from 1 species